GCCCCUAUAGUCUAGUGGUAGAACAGGUCUCUCGUAAUUGCUCGUAAAGAUCAGACCGGCGUUCGAUUCGCCGUGGGGGCA
rnacentral:tRNA from 1 species